rnacentral:snRNA from 1 species
AUACUUACCUGGGCGGGGUCUAUCGGUGAUCAAGAACGCCGAUGGCCUAGAGAAGCCACCUCCAUUGGACUUGGGAGGGGGGUGUGUCGAGCAGCUCCCAUCGAGGAGAGUGCACGUCAUAAUUGGUGGCAGAGGAGGCUCGCGUUCGCGCGGCCUCCAA